UACGAGAGGCCCAAACGUUAUUCGGGUUUACUGGGCUUAAAGAGUUCGUAGGCGGCUUGGAAAGUGGGGUGUGAAAGCCCUCGGCUCAACCGAGGAAUUGCGCUCCAAACUACCGAGCUUGAGGAAGCUAGAGGUGAGCAGAACUGAUGGUGGAGCGGUGAAAUGCGUUGAUAUCAUCAGGAAUACCGGAGGCGAAGGCGGCUCACUGGGACUUUUCUGACGCUGAGGAACGAAAGCUAGGGGAGCAAACGGG
rnacentral:rRNA from 1 species